rnacentral:tRNA from 1 species
GCUUAUAUAGUUUAUUUGGAAUUAUAUUUUGAAAAGAUAUAGGAGGUUUAAGCG